rnacentral:misc_RNA from 1 species
UACGGAGGGGGCUAGCGUUGUUCGGAAUCGCUGGGCUUAAAGCGUACGUAGGCGGAAUUGAAAGUCAGAAGUGAAAGCCCAGGGCUCAACCCUGGAAUAGCUUUUGAAACUCCAAUUCUAGAGUCCCGGAGAGGUUAGCGGAAUUCCGAGUGUAGAGGUGAAAUUCGCAGAUAUUCGGAGGAACACCAGUGGCGAAGGCGGCUAACUGGACGGGAACUGACGCUGAGGUACGAAAGCGUGGGGAGCAAACAGG